GGAGAGAUGGCCGAGUCCGGUUGAAGGCGCUCGCCUCGAAAGCGAGUAGGUACUGGCGUGCCUCGUGGGUUCGAAUCCCACUCUCUCCGCCA
rnacentral:tRNA from 1 species